CAAGUCGAACGGCAGCACGGGGGCAACCCUGGUGGCGAGUGGCGAACGGGUGAGUAAUACAUCGGAACGUGUCCUGGAGUGGGGGAUAGCCCGGCGAAAGCCGGAUUAAUACCGCAUACGAUCUCUGGAUGAAAGCGGGGGACCGAAAGGCCUCGCGCUCAAGGGGCGGCCGAUGGCAGAUUAGCUAGUUGGUGGGGUAAAGGCCUACCAAGGCGACGAUCUGUAGCUGGUCUGAGAGGACGACCAGCCACACUGGGACUGAGACACGGCCCAGACUCCUACGGGAGGCAGCAGUGGGGAAUUUUGGACAAUGGGGGCAACCCUGAUCCAGCAAUGCCGCGUGUGUGAAGAAGGCCUUCGGGUUGUAAAGCACUUUUGUCCGGAAAGAAAACCGCUUCUCUAAUACAGAGGUGGGAUGACGGUACCGGAAGAAUAAGCMCCGGCUAACUACKUGCCAGCAGCCGCGGU
rnacentral:rRNA from 1 species